rnacentral:lncRNA from 1 species
AGCCACUAACAUAAACUGAAGGAACUUAUUAAGAGUAAACCCAUCUAUGUAUCUCCUAACCCAACCUACAGCUUAGCUUCUGCCCAUCCAUGGUCCUGUUAGGCACAGAAAAUUCUCUUCUGACUUGUGGCUCCUUCCCUCUGCUCAUUGAACCAGUAAAACAUGAAAUCAAGUACUUGUUUAAAAGAGAGGAAGGGGAAAAAGAUAACUGCAUCUGAUCAAGCAUAAGAGGGUAAUGGUGGAAGGUAUAGCUGAUACCAGCAGUAAGGACAAACAGGUAAAUAUUUAUAAGAAAGUCUUGCAUUUUUCUGCUGUAAGCAAGAGAUGUAAGAUACUGGUAUGACCUCUAAUAAAAUUUCCACUCAAUAGAGGUGGAAGAGCUCUCAGAUCCCAAAUGAAAUGCUUAGUCUGACCUUGGAUGAGCUGGUGGCCUGCCAAUUACACUGUCCUGAUGGGACAGGGUGGAAUUCUGUAAAUGGAAUGGAAUGGACAGGGUGGAAUCUGUAAAUGUCGGCAAAUAAGUUGCAGGCAAAUAAACUAUUUGCCUUUCCCAUCUCUAUCUUCUUUUUACGUGUGGCCCCCUCAAGCACCCAGCUUUUCUGCUGCCUUCCCCAGCCAGGAUGGGACAGACCAAGACGGCUUCUGUUGAGUUUCACAAUUUUUCACUUGGAAAACCUAUGUCAGCCUCAAGUCACAAAUAGCCCUUCUGGGUAUGGAUAUGGAGCAUCUACUUUUGGAGAUAACAUGAAUGUAGAAGCAAACGGACUGCUGUCACACCUGGAGGCCUUUCAUUUCUUGUCCUUAGUGACCUGGAACCCUUAUGGUGCUGUCUGUAUGGGCACCUGUCCAGAGCUGCACUUAACACGACUGAAUGUGUAGCAAGUUGUGUUAUCCACUGUGGCACUGCAUCUCCUCCUCUUGGGCAAAUGGCAGCAAAACCAAGGUGCAAGAGUUGUUCCAGAACCAACCAUUUCAUGAGUUGUUUCAUGUUCAUUUUUGCAAGUUAAAUACUUCAAACGAGAUAUUUGAACUGAAUAAUGUAAAUCACCUUAAUUGUCUUAAACAGUGUACAACAGUCAACAAAUACAUGGCCUGGGGUUAAAAUGGUUUUGCAUUCACAUACAUAUUUAUUCAGUCACUUGGCAAGAUUUCCUGUGUAUAGCAUAGGCCCUCUCCUGUAGUCAGGGAAAUCAGCAACAAACUUCCCCACAGAUUUCACUGUGCUACAGAGGUCUAUUGGUUUCUGCUGAACACUGCAAAAUGAAAAAUGACUUAGACAAUAAAAUCUAAUUUAAUUCUAAUUUCA